rnacentral:sRNA from 1 species
GUCUAGCCCUGAUGGAAAUGGAAAGCCUCGAUGGAAUAAAUCUAUUUUUUCUUGUGCUGGUAGAGCGACCAAAGGAAGCUCCUGCCAGUACAAUAGAAAAAAAGGUUUAUGACUGAGAGCUUGUAAUGGACAGCAGGAAAUUGC